GACGAACGCUGGCGGCGUGCCUAAUACAUGCAAGUUGAGCGCUGAAGGUUGGUACUUGUACCGACUGGAUGAGCAGCGAACGGGUGAGUAACGCGUGGGGAAUCUGCCUUUGAGCGGGGGACAACAUUUAGAAACGAAUGCUAAUACCGCAUAAAAACUUUAAACACAAGUUUUAAGUUUGAAAGAUGCAAUUGCAUCACUCAAAGAUGAUCCCGCGUUGUAUUAGCUAGUUGGUGAGGUAAAGGCUCACCAAGGCGAUGAUACAUAGCCGACCUGAGAGGGUGAUCGGCCACAGUGGGACUGAGACACGGCCCAAACUCCUACGGGAGGCAGCAGUAGGGAAUCUUCGGCAAUGGACGAAAGUCUGACCGAGCAACGCCGCGUGAGUGAAGAAGGUUUUCGGAUCGUAAAACUCUGUUGGUAGAGAAGAACGUUGGUGAGAGUGGAAAGCUCAUCAAGUGACGGUAACUACCCAGAAAGGGACGGCUAACUACGUG
rnacentral:rRNA from 1 species